CUACGGGAGGCAGCAGUGAGGAAUAUUGGACAAUGGGUGCAAGCCUGAUCCAGCCAUCCCGCGUGAAGGACGACGGCCCUUAUGGGUUGUAAACUUCUUUUGUACAGGGAUAAACCUAGAUACGUGUAUCUAGCUGAAGGUACUGUACGAAUAAGCACCGGCUAACUCCGUGCCAGCAGCCGCGGUAAUACGGAGGGUGCAAGCGUUAUCCGGAUUUAUUGGGUUUAAAGGGUCCGUAGGCGGAUCAGUAAGUCAGUGGUGAAAUCUCAUAGCUUAACUAUGAAACUGCCAUUGAUACUGCUGGUCUUGAGUAAGGUAGAAGUAGCUGGAAUAAGUAGUGUAGCGGUGAAAUGCAUAGAUAUUACUUAGAACACCAAUUGCGAAGGCAGGUUACUAUGUCUUAACUGACGCUGAUGGACGAAAGCGUGGGGAGCGAACAGGAUUAGAUACCCUGGUAGUCCACGCUGUAAACGAUGCUAACUCGUUUUUGGGUUUUCGGAUUCAGAGACUAAGCGAAAGUGAUAAGUUAGCCACCUGGGGAGUACGAACGCAAGUUUGAAACUCAAAGGAAUUGACGGGGGCCCGCACAAGCGGUGGAUUAUGUGGUUUAAUUCGAUGAUACGCGAGGAACCUUACCAAGGCUUAAAUGGGAAUUGAUCGGUUUAGAAAUAGACCUUCCUUCGGGCAAUUUUCAAGGUGCUGCAUGGUUGUCGUCAGCUCGUGCCGUGAGGUGUUAGGUUAAGUCCUGCAACGAGCGCAACCCCUGUCACUAGUUGCCAUCAUUAAGUUGGGGACUCUAGUGAGACUGCCUACGCAAGUAGAGAGGAAGGUGGGGAUGACGUCAAAUCAUCACGGCCCUUACGCCUUGGGCCACACACGUAAUACAAUGGCCGGUACAGAGGGCAGCUACACAGCGAUGUGAUGCAAAUCUCGAAAGCCGGUCUCAGUUCGGAUUGGAGUCUGCAACUCGACUCUAUGAAGCUGGAAUCGCUAGUAAUCGCGCAUCAGCCAUGGCGCGGUGAAUACGUUCCCGGGCCUUGUACACACCGCCCGUCAAGCCAUGGAAGUCUGGGGUACCUGAAGUC
rnacentral:rRNA from 1 species